rnacentral:rRNA from 1 species
AGAGUUUGAUCCUGGCUCAGAUUGAACGCUGGCGGCAUGCCUUACACAUGCAAGUCGAACGCGAAAGGGGGCAACCCCGAGUAGAGUGGCGAACGGGUGAGCAAUACAUCGGAACGUGUCCUGUAGCGGGGGACAACACAUCGAAAGAUGUGCUAAUACCGCAUACGAUCUACGGAUGAAAGUGGGGGACCGCAAGGCCCCACACUAUAGGAGCGGCCGAUGCCGGAUUAGCUUGUUGGCGGGGUAAAAGCCCACCAAGGCGACGAUCCGUAGCUGGUUUGAGAGAACGACCAGCCACACUGGGACUGAGACACGGCCCAGACUCCUACGGGAGGCAGCAGUGGGGAAUUUUGGACAAUGGGCGCAAGCCUGAUCCAGCCAUGCCGCGUGAGUGAAGAAGGCCUUCGGGUUGUAAAGCUCUUUCGGCCGGGACGAAAUGGCGCGGGGUAACAUCCCGCGUCGAUGACGGUACCGGAAGAAGAAGGACCGGCUAACUACGUGCCAGCAGCCGCGGUAAUACGUAGGGUCCAAGCGUUAAUCGGAAUUACUGGGCGUAAAGCGUGUGCAGGCGGUUUCGAAAGUCCGAUGUGAAAUCCCCGGGCUUAACCUGGGAACUGCGUUGGAAACUACGAGGCUAGAGUGCGGCAGAGGGGGGUGGAAUUCCAGGUGUAGCAGUGAAAUGCGUAGAUAUCUGGAGGAACACCGAUGGCGAAGGCAGCCCCCUGGGUUAGCACUGACGCUCAUACACGAAAGCGUGGGGAGCAAACAGGAUUAGAUACCCUCGUAGUCC